UACAGAGGGUGCGAGCGUUAAUCGGAAUUACUGGGCGUAAAGCGUGCGUAGACGGCUAUCUAAGUCGGAUGUGAAAGCCCCGGGCUCAACCUGGGAAUGGCAUCCGAUACUGGUGGGCUAGAGUGCGGUAGAGGAGAGCGGAAUUCCCGGUGUAGCGGUGAAAUGCGCAGAUAUCAGGAGGAACACCGGUGGCGAAGGCGGUUCUCUGGGAAUAUCCUGACGCUGAGGAGCGAAAGUGUGGGGAGCGAACAGG
rnacentral:rRNA from 1 species